ACCCCGCUGAAAUUAAGCAUAUCAGUAAGCGGAGGAAAAGAAACUAACCAGGAUUCUCUUAGUAACGGCGAGUGAACAGAGAUUAGCCCAGCACCGAAGCCUAUUCGCGUUUGUGGACAAGGCAAUGUGGUGUUAAGGUGUUUGCCUGGGGUUACCAGUCUAUUCGAAGUCCAGCAUAGAUUAUGGCUCUGGAUUGUGCCCAUAGCGGGUGAAAGGCCCGUACGGAUAGACAUUAAGCAAUGUUGGUAGCCCUUAGCUGCAUUCACCUUGGAGUCGGAUAGCUUGAGAAUGCUGUCCAAAGUGGGUGGUAAACUCCAUCCAAGGCUAAAUACCUGCACGAGUCCGAUAGUCGACAAGUACCGUGAGGGAAAGUUGAAAAGUACUCUGAAGAGAGAGUAAAUAGUACGUGAAACCGCCUGUAUGGAAGCUGGUGGAGUCAAGCUGCAUGCCCGAGGAAUUGAGCCAUGUAAUAAUUGGUUGCAUUGUGGUGGAGACGGUGGAUUUGCUUGGAAAGAGCAUGGCAAUGUAUGUUGCUACAUGACGCACAGGGUUGUGCGUGUGGGUCCAUCGUCCUGCGCCUAUGUUGCUGGUGUACUUUUCUCGUGGCAGACAUCACGAUGGAUAUGCGUUGUUGGCGUAUGGUAGCCUAACCAAUUGGUGAUGGGUUUUCAAUUCAUGCCUUUUGGGAUGGCAGUUGGCUUGAUUGACGGUUUCGGUCGUCCUUCAAGCUUAUCCAGGCCGAGGCCGGCCGGCUACCACGUGAAGCAUUUAGCCAUGCAAUGUAUCCGUGCUUAUGAUUGUGUCGCGCCUUCGUGCGCUUGCGUUCUCCGGCUCGCCGGGUUCGUUUCCGUGCAAGCGGUGCGGGCUGGCCGAUGCCGGGCUGCGUUUGUGUGUGAUCGCGUGGCAUGUGAAUCGUGGUGUUGUGGUAGACGUUCCACCCGACCCGUCUUGAACACCGGGACAAA
rnacentral:rRNA from 1 species